AACUGAAGAGUUUGAUCAUGGCUCAGAUUGAACGCUGGCGGCAGGCUUAACACAUGCAAGUCGAGCGGGGGAAGGUAGCUUGCUACUGGACCUAGCGGCGGACGGG
rnacentral:rRNA from 2 species